rnacentral:ncRNA from 1 species
CAACCUCAACUCAUAUGGGACUACCCCCUGAAUUUAAGCAUAUUAAUUAGGGGAGGAAAAGAAACUAACAAGGAUUUUCUUAGUAGCGGCGAGCGAAAAGAAAUCAGUUCAGCACUAAGUCACUUUGUCUAUAUGGCAAAUGUGAGAUGCAGUGUACGGAACAUCAACAUUCUAGUAUGAGAAGUUAACGAUUUAAGUCCUUCUUAAAUGAGGCCAUUUACCCAUAGAGGGUGCCAGGCCCGUAUAACGUUAAUGAUUACUAGAUGGUGUUUCCAAAGAGUCGUGUUGCUUGAUAGUGCAGCACUAAGUGGGUGGUAAACUCCAUCUAAAACUAAAUAUAACCAUGAGACCGAUAGUAAACAAGUACCGUGAGGGAAAGUUGAAAAGAACUCUGAAUAGAGAGUUAAAUAGUACGUGAAACUGCUUAGAGGUUAAGCCCGAUGAACCUGAAUAUCCGUUAUGGAAAAUUCAUCAUUAGAAUUGUAAUAUUUUAAACAAUAUUAUAAUAAUAGUGUGCAUUUUUUCCAUAUAAGGACAUUGUAAUCUAUUAGCAUAAAUAUUUAUCAUAAAAUUAUGUCUGAUUGCUUAUUUGAAUUAUAUGCU